rnacentral:rRNA from 1 species
AUUGAACGCUGGCGGCAUGCUUUACACAUGCAAGUCGAACGGCAGCGCGGGCUUCGGCCUGGCGGCGAGUGGCGAACGGGUGAGUAAUGCAUCGGAACGUGCCCAGUAGUGGGGGAUAGCCCGGCGAAAGCCGGAUUAAUACCGCAUACGACCUGACGGUGAAAGCGCCGGACCCAAAGGCCUCGCGCCAUCCGACCGGCCGAUGUCGGAUUAGCUAGUUGGUGGGGUAAAGGCUUACCAAGGCGACGAUCCGUAGCUGGUCUGAGAGGACGACCAGCCACACUGGGACUGAGACACGGCCCAGACUCCUACGGGAGGCAGCAGUGGGGAAGUUUGGACAAUGGGGGCAACCCUGAUCCAGCCAUGCCGCGUGCGGGAAGAAGGCCUUCGGGUUGUAAACCGCUUUUGUUCGGGAAGAAAUCCUCUGGGCUAAUACCCCGGGGGGAUGACGGUACCGGAAGGAUAAGCACCGGCUAACUACGUG